rnacentral:misc_RNA from 1 species
GAUGAAGAACGCAGCGAAAUGCGAUAAGUAGUGUGAAUUGCAGAAUUCAGUGAAUCAUCGAAUCUUUGAACGCACAUUGCGCCCUUUGGUAUUCCUUAGGGCAUGCCUGUUCGAGCGUCAUUUGAAACCUCAAGCUCAGCUUGGUGUUGGGUGUCUGUCCCCGCCUCACCGCGGGGACUCGCCUCAAAAUCAUUGGCGGCCGGUACGUUGGCUUCGAGCGCAGCAGAAACGCGAACUCGAGGCCCGGCGGAUCGGCGACCAGAAGUCACUUCCUCACAGUUUGACCUCGGAUCAGGUAGGGAUACCCGCUGAACUUAAGCAUAUCAAUAAGCGGAGGA